UACGGAGGGUGCAAGCGUUGCUCGGAAUUAUUGGGCGUAAAGGGUAGGUAGGUGGUCUCAUUUGUCUGAGGUGAAAGCCCAGGGCUUAACCUUGGAAGUGCCUCAGAAACGGUGAGACUGGAGUACUGGAGAGGGUCGUGGAAUUCCCGGUGUAGCGGUGAAAUGCGUAGAGAUCGGGAGGAACACCAGAGGCGAAGGCGGCGACCUGGACAGUGACUGACACUCAACUACGAAAGCGUGGGGAGCAAACAGG
rnacentral:rRNA from 1 species